rnacentral:rRNA from 1 species
GGGCUCCACAAAUCACCGCUGGGUACGCGAACGGGGGUGACAAAAGCUCGCGAUCGGUCCGAAAAUUCGAAUUGGGAGUUGUGGGCGGGCCCUCGGAGAUAGGGCGGAAUCGCGGAUACGCCCUCGGGUGGGCGAGCGCUUCUUAUCCCCUCGUCGCCGCGCAGCGUUAGCCCAGCCUUGUCCCCGUCCCCUCUCUCCUUUCCCCAACCCAAACCAGGAGCGCCCUCCCUCCCUCCCCACCCAGGGAAACCCACCAGCCAUGAAGGGGGCCAAAUCCAAGGGCGCCGCCAAGGCCGACACCAAGUUGGCGGUGAAGAGCAAGGGGGCGGAGAAGCCGGCGGCCAAGGGGAAGAAGGGCAAGGCCGGCAAGGACCCCAACAAGCCCAAGAGGGCGCCCUCCGCCUUCUUCGUCUUCAUGGGCGAGUUCCGCGAGGAGUUCAAGCAGAAGAACCCCAAGAACAAGUCCGUCGCCGCCGUCGGCAAAGCGGCCGGUGAGAGGUGGAAGAGCUUGAGCGAAUCGGAGAAGGCCCCCUACGUGGCCAAGGCCAACAAGCUCAAGGGCGAGUACAACAAGGCCAUCGCCGCCUACAACAAGGGCGAGAGUGCUGCUGCUGCCGCCCCAAAGAAGGCGGCCGCCAAGGAGGUGGAGGAGGAAGAUGAGGAGGAAUCCGACAAGUCCAAGUCGGAGAUCAAUGACGACGAUGACGAUGAGGGUAGCGAUGAGGACGAGGACGACGACGAGUGAAGAAGACGCAUCUUGUCAAGGCUGCUGGCUCCGGCGGACAAAGGCGGGAGCGGCUGCUGCGCGAGAACCGACGUGAGCUGUGUGCGGUGGUGUCAUAAGGAGCCUGUCCAUCUCCACUAGAGUUAUCCCAAGUUUCACUUCACAUCGUGAUGUUGUUUUACCUUUUUUUUCUUGUCGUCGUCCCGCUGCCUGCUAUAACGGACAGCGCUCCCUGUUGGCGCCGACGCCGGCGGGGGUGGUGCCCUGGCGGCGGAGGGUGUAUGUCCUCUGCCGCCGGGUGCUCCCCUGCUUGUACCUAGAUGGUUGGUUACUCUUUCCGUCCAUUGUCACCGGCUAACAUUGUGAUAAUAUCAGUCUGGGUAAUGUUAGAUUAAGCUGUUGUUUGUGUCCCAUGGCAUGCAUUCGCGCGUAUGAUUUGCUCCUCAUUAUGCUUGCUUGGUUGGU